rnacentral:rRNA from 1 species
GAAACAUCUUAGUACCCGUAGGAAGAGAAAACAAGUGUGAUUCCGUGAGUAGUGGCGAGCGAAAGCGGAGGAGGCUAAACCGUGUGUGUGUUCAAGCCGGCAGGUGUUGCAUGUGCGGGGUUGUGGGGGCCUUGUGGUUCUGCUGCCGCAGGAUUGGCCAGUGAGAAAUGUUGCGUGAAGGUGAAGCGUCUGGGAAGGCGUACCGGAGUGGGUG